rnacentral:rRNA from 1 species
UACGUAGGGGGCUAGCGUUGUCCGGAUUUAUUGGGCGUAAAGAGCGUGUAGGCGGCCAGGUAGGUCUGCUGUGAAAACUCGAGGCUCAACCUCGAGAUGUCGGCGGAAACCAUCUGGCUAGAGUCCGGAAGAGGAGAGUGGAAUUCCUGGUGCAGCGGUGAAAUGCGCAGAUAUCAGGAAGAACACCCGUGGCGAAGGCGGCUCUCUGGGACGGUACUGACGCUGAGACGCGAAAGCGUGGGGAGCGAACAGG